rnacentral:rRNA from 1 species
UACGUAGGCGGAUUAAUAAGUCAGUGGUGAAAACCUGCAGCUUAACUGUAGAACUGCCAUUGAUACUGUUAGUCUUGAGUACGGUCAAGGUAGGCGGAAUGUGUAAUGUAGCGGUGAAAUGCUUAGAUAUUACACAGAACACCGAUUGCGAAGGCAGCUUACUGGACCAUUACUGACGCUGAGGCACGAAAGCGUGGGGAGCGAACAGGAUUAGAUACCCUGGUAGUCC